AGCUCCAAUAGCGUAUAUUAAAGUUGCUGCAGUUAAAAAGCUCGUAGUUGGAUUUGUGGGAUGGCCGUCCGGCGGGGGGCCAUUUAUUGGUCCCGUUUGUCUUGGUUUUCGGCCUUCCCUUUCUCGGGUCUAGCGUAUUGGCUGGCAUUAGGUUGUCGGCCGCUUCGCGCCCGUCGUUUACUGUGAAAAAAUUAGAGUGUUCAAAGCAGGCUUAGGCCGUUGGAUACAUUAGCAUGGAAUAAUGAGAUAGGGCCACCGCGGUCUAUUUUGUUGGUUUGCACGUUGUGGUAAUGAUUAACAGGAACGGUUGGGGGUAUUCGUAUUCAAUUGUCAGAGGUGAAAUUCUUGGAUUUGUGGAAGACGAACUACUGCGAAAGCAUUUACCAAGGAUGUUUUCAUU
rnacentral:rRNA from 1 species